AGGGAAUUUUCGGCAAUGGGGGCAACCCUGACCGAGCAAUGCCGCGUGAGUGAUGAAGGUCUUCGGACUGUAAAGCUCUGUUGUUAGGGAAGAAUAGCAUAACGAGGAAAUGCGUUAUGUGUGACGGUACCUAACCAGAAAGCCCCGGCUAACUAUGUGCCAGCAGCCGCGGUAAUACAUAGGGGGCGAGCGUUAUCCGGAAUUAUUGGGCGUAAAGCGUGAGCAGGUGGUUCCUUAAGUCUGAUGUGAAAUUUUGUGGCUUAACCACAAAGGGUCAUUGGAAACUGGGGAACUUGAGUAUGGUAGAGGUAAGUGGAAUUUCUAGUGGAGCGGUGGAAUGCGUAGAUAUUAGAAGGAACACCAGUGGCGAAGGCGGCUUACUGGGCCAGAACUGACACUGAGUCACGAAAGCGUGGGUAGCAAAC
rnacentral:rRNA from 1 species